rfam:Myotis brandtii contig192714, whole genome shotgun sequence.
GGCAGUUCUCGGGUGAUGCACCCCAGAAUCGGGCUCCCUCCUCUCUGGUUCCGGGGUGCAUCACCCGAGAACCGCC